CGACGUUCUGCAACCUUUCUUCCAGUGU
rnacentral:sRNA from 1 species